UUCUAUGAAUGAACAAAGAAAGUGGAUUAUUCAGAUGGAAUCUACUUCUGGUGAAGAUGCUGUGAA
rnacentral:pre_miRNA from 1 species